rnacentral:lncRNA from 1 species
UGUAAUAUAAUACUUUUAAAUUUUGUAACAAAACUUCCACUAUUUAUGACAGUAUUGAAUCCAGGAAUAAUCAGAAAAAACUGGAAUGGAGAGAUAAAGCUAAUGAAACUAUGAUAAUAAAGAAUCAUAUGCCAGCUUUGAUGCCACUAUGAGAUUUUUGCCUUUUACGAAAAAAUUUGCUUGACUGAGAUGCUGUAUUGAAAUAGCACAACCCACAGGUACAGUCCGAUGCAUUGUUAAAAUAACUCAAGGGGGAAAAAAAGUUAAACCUUUCUGUUUUUCAAUUUGCUCUAGGCUUUCUAAUUUAGACUUUCUACUAUGUAGUAUGGGUAAUCCAACUUUCUUGUCAGCUAUUAUAGACCUCACAGAAAUCAAAUUCAGCCUUUCCCACUGCCACUCUUUUAUCCUCAUGUUCUUCCUAACAGGAUGUUCCUGUCAAGAGAAAUGAUGCUUUUGUCUAAAAUGCUUCAGUUUUGUCUCUCUCUGACUGAAGGAAAAGGUUCCUGUGAUAUAUUUCUGAAAGGAGUGAGGAAAGUGAAGUGAUAUUUCUUACCUUUGAGCCUCACCCAGAAUAGAUGUGACCCAUGAAACAGCCCAUAUAACUCCCUAGAAUAGCAUACUACAAUUGCUUAAAUGGCUGGGGUAGACAUUUGGGGGUUAGAGCCCUAUUCAUGCAACACUGCCUCUCCUCUCUGAUGUUGCUUAACUAGGAAAAGGCACCCAAAGGACAUCAUGCAUCUCUGCCAUCUACAAGAAGGAGCAGAAGACUGUCAGAAUAUUGAAGACAUUUGGAAAUUAGUGCUCAGAGCUGAUGGCCAAUAAGAGAAAGAGGCGCUUAGGAUAUUGCCCAGGGGCCAUGGGAGUAUUUUGUUAUUUUCUGUGUGAAAUAUCAUAUUCCCUGGUGGAAACAGCGAGAUUGUAUUACUGUCCAGUGAUUCUCUUAGUUGACACAACAAGCAGUACUGGUGACCUCAGGACUUGGGACUGCAUCUAAAUGUGGGGCUUUUGUGCCAAAGGGCCUAGAAAAGCAGAAAGAUUGGAAGGGGACAGGGCAAAAGAAAAGAACUUCAUUUACACAACCCUAGAGUGGAAGAAUGGAAGCAUUCAUAACUAGUUACUCAAGGCAUCAGCAUCCUAAGGUAAUGUGACAUGUUGCUCUUUUAUAGCACUUACAAUACAUAUAACAUCAUUUUCAAAUAUAAAUUAUAAACAACAUUUUAAUUUUGUGUUUUUAGGUGGAAUUCAACCAGGUCCCUUUCUCCCUCGUGCAUAACAACAUUUUCCAUUGGUCAUAUUAAGUUGUAGAAAGAGAUCUAGUAUUUUCCUUAUGUGUUUAUUUACCAAUAAAUUUCUACGCAGUCAUUUUUUUCCCUGGGGC